UACGGAGGGAGCUAGCGUUGUUCGGGAAUUACUGGGCGUAAGCGCGCGUAGGCGGCUUUGUAAGUUAGAGGUGAAAGCCCGGGGCUCAACCCCGGAAUUGCCUUUAAGACUGCAUCGCUUGAAUCCGGGAGAGGUGAGUGGAAUUCCGAGUGUAGAGGGUGAAAUUCGGUAGAUAUUCGGAAGAACACCAGUGGCGAAGGCGGCUCAC
rnacentral:rRNA from 1 species